AUGUUACAGAACCCUUCGGUGAUGACUACGAGGGAGAGGCGUCACCGCACCAUCAUUGCUGCCGAUCCCCAUCAGAAGCAAACAAACACAAUAACAAACACAAAGUACUGGAUCGUGUGGGCGGAGUACCAUGUGUACAAAGAACAACCAGCAAAACUGGAAAGAAAAACACCUGUUGAUACUCCCUCCGUCCCAUACUGUAAAAUCGUGUCAAAAAACGUCUUGCAUUAUGGGACGGAGGGAGUAACAUUUUGCAUGCCAAGACUGGGCAUCAAAAACACUUGUUUAGAACAACAAAACUAUGUUUCACUCCAAAGAGAAGAAAAAAACAGGUGCUGCUCAAUCAAAGUAAAGCCCAGCACAGGCCGAUGA
rnacentral:rRNA from 1 species